AACAAACGCUGGCGGCGUGCCUAAUACAUGCAAGUCGAACGGUGAAAGUAGCAAUAUGAGUACUAGUGGCGCACGGGUGAGUAACGCGUGGAUAAUCUGCCUUGACGAGGGGGAUAACUAGUCGAAAGAUUAGCUAAUACCGCAUAAGACCACAAGAACUGAGGUUCAAGGGGUCAAAGAUUUUUCGCUUCAAGAUGAGUCCGCGUAAGAUUAGCUAGUUGGUGAGGUAAUGGCUCACCAAGGCAACGAUCUUUAACUGGUCUGAGAGGAUGAUCAGUCACACUGGAACUGAGACACGGUCCAGACUCCUACGGGAGGCAGCAGGAGAGAAUAUUGCACAAUGGAGGAAACUCUGAUGCAGCGACGCCGGGUGAGUGAUGAAGGCCGUCGGGUCGUAAAGCUCUGUCGCAGGGGAAUAACACAAUGAAUGUACCCUGUAAGAAAGGAUCGGCUAACUUCGU
rnacentral:rRNA from 1 species